GGCUUUAUAUAGCCGUUUACAUUUUUCUUGGUAAGGAAGAGGUCGUGCGUUCGAAUCGCAUAGACAGCUCCA
rnacentral:tRNA from 1 species